UACGAGGGGUGCAAGCGUUGCUCGGAAUUAUUGGGCGUAAAGGGUAGGUAGGUGGUCUCAUUUGUCUGGGGUGAAAGCCUUGAGCUUAACUCAAGAAGUGCCCCGGAAACGGUGAGACUGGAGUCCCGGAGAGGGUCGUGGAAUUCCCGGUGUAGCGGUGAAAUGCGUAGAGAUCGGGAGGAACACCAGUGGCGAAGGCGACUUCCUGGCCUGUUCUUGA
rnacentral:rRNA from 1 species